rnacentral:misc_RNA from 1 species
GAUGAGAACGCAGCGAAAUGCGAUAAGUAAUGUGAAUUGCAGAAUCCAGUGAAUCAUCGAAUCUUUGAACGCACAUUGCGCCCGCCAGCAUUCUGGCGGGCAUGCCUGUUCGAGCGUCAUUUCAACCCUCGACCUCCCCUUGGGGAGGUCGGCGUUGGGGACCGGCAGCACACCGCCGGCCCUGAAAUGGAGUGGCGGCCCGUCCGCGGCGACCUCUGCGUAGUAAUACAGCUCGCACCGGAACCCCGACGCGGCCACGCCGUAAAACACCCAACUUCUGAACGUUGACCUCGAAUCAGGUAGGACUACCCGCUGAACUUAAGCAUAUCAAUAAGCGGAGGA